UGCUAAAUUAACUAAUCUUGGAAACUUCUAGACUCUACAAUUCUUAUUGUAUGAGAGUGGGUUGACAAUUAUUCUCUGGACUUUUUGGUAACCAAGAACUUCUAGCAACUAACCCUGGCAUGACCACCAGAAUCUGCAGGGCUGAGAGAGGAAAGAAAGGUAAAAGUGGAUGAAUGCAGCUGAAGAUGCUAUGGAACUCCUAUCACAUUCCAAGUGCUGUGUUGAUAUCUGGAGAUAUAGACAAGAUCGAAGCAGAUGCAGAGUCUUUAACAUGAAUAUUUGAAUCAGGUAGUAUGUUCCCCAAAUUAGCAAAGUAUCUCCCAGAUUUUUUCUUUGAUGAUACAUUUGAAAUCCUAAUGCUGAAAAAGUUAAAUUAUCAGGGUUUUAAAACUAGAAACAGUCAUUAUCAGAAUUUUAUAUACUAUUUAUUUUUAAGAACAUAAUUUGACUGUUUAAGUCUUAUUAUAAUUUUAAGUGAAGUACUUUGGGAAGUCAUAAAUAAAGUAAUGGGCAGGUAUUUAGUAUUGAUAUUGUGUGGAUUCAUAUCCAUACUCUACCACUCAGUAUCUCUGGGAUUUUGAUGAAUGAUCGAACUCUCUGAGCCUCAGUUUUCUAAUCUGUAAAGCAGAAAUGAUAAUGGUAUGUAGUGAUAAUUAAACAAUUUACUAGUUGUAAGUGCUAGAACAGUUCCUGGAAUACAGAAAAUUUGCAGAGAGAUUUUAAUUUUAUUGUUUACAAUUUAGUUAAUGGAAUGGCUUCAAUAAUACAGUAAAAUUAAGAUAUUCAAACAAGCAGGAUGUAGGUGAAGAGUAUUGGCCUCAGCUUUAGAGACCAGAGGUUAAAUCUCAAUGCUGCCACAAAACGAUCCAUGUAAGUCAGUAAGCAAUGCUUUUUAAAUUAUUAUUAUAAAGAUAUAGUGCGUGGAUACCUCUCAAUUGUCCAUUCUUCCCUGUCGCAAAAAUUUGCCUGCUUUUUGUUAUCGUGUGAGAAGCAAAUAAAUUGAACUAAAUGGUUUCUAAUGCCCUGUCCACCUCUAAAAUUCUAUGGAACUGUGAUUUGAUUCCAACGGGCCAUAUCAGGACUUGGCAUUAUUUUGAUCAGUGAACCAUUUCGUUAGAAAUUUAUUUUUCCAAAUGAUAUUAGUAAAUAUUGAAGGAGGCUUCUCCCACAGAGCUUCUUGUACAAAUUAAAACAGUGCAGGAGAAGGUUUUCAGGUUGGUGAAGUCAACUCUGGCUUUUAGUCAACCAUUCCAAAAAACAUUUUCUUUAGAAUCCAAGGGCUUGCAAUUGUUCCGAAUAAAGGAUAAAGAAGCUGUUCUGAUUUAUUAAACAAAAAGAGUACCAAAUACAUGAUUU